UUAAGCGCUCGCUGCUGGAAGAACUUUCACACUACUGAGCGAGUGACCAUGGUGCGCGUUUUGAGCUUCAGCAUUUUCGUGGUUUUGACCAUAUUUGCCUUACUUUUGUCCACGAUGCCGGGAUUGGCCUUUGCAGCAAGGGGACCAAGUGGAAGAGGUGGCAGAGGCGGUGGUGAAGGAAAACUAUUCCAAAUCCCACCUGGACGUAGAGGCCGCUGAGCUUCCUUUAAUGGCAAAUACAAGAGAGCAUAAUAUUUCGGAAUAUGGCAACGAAUACCUCUGGAUCCCAUCGACUACACAAAUUUUUUGGAAAGUAAAGUUUUCUGGAAUUGUCA